rnacentral:rRNA from 1 species
GGGUGAGUAAUGUCUGGGAAACUGCCUGAUGGAGGGGGAUAACUACUGGAAACGGUAGCUAAUACCGCAUAACGUCGCAAGACCAAAGUGGGGGACCUUCGGGCCUCAUGCCAUCAGAUGUGCCCAGAUGGGAUUAGCUAGUAGGUGGGGUAACGGCUCACCUAGGCGACGAUCCCUAGCUGGUCUGAGAGGAUGACCAGCCACACUGGAACUGAGACACGGUCCAGACUCCUACGGGAGGCAGCAGUGGGGAAUAUUGCACAAUGGGCGCAAGCCUGAUGCAGCCAUGCCGCGUGUAUGAAGAAGGCCUUCGGGUUGUAAAGUACUUUCAGCGGGGAGGAAGGCGAUAAGGUUAAUAACCUUGUCGAUUGACGUUACCCGCAGAAGAAGCACCGGCUAACUCCGUGCCAGCAGCCGCGGUAAUACGGAGGGUGCAAGCGUUAAUCGGAAUUACUGGGCGUAAAGCGCACGCAGGCGGUCUGUCAAGUCGGAUGUGAAAUCCCCGGGCUCAACCUGGGAACUGCAUUCGAAACUGGCAGGCUAGAGUCUUGUAGAGGGGGGUAGAAUUCCAGGUGUAGCGGUGAAAUGCGUAGAGAUCUGGAGGAAUACCGGUGGCGAA